rnacentral:rRNA from 1 species
CCUACGGGCGGCAGCAGUAGGGAAUCUUCCACAAUGGGCGAAAGCCUGAUGGAGCAACGCCGCGUGGGUGAAGAAGGUCUUCGGAUCGUAAAACCCUGUUGUUAGAGAAGAAAGUGCGUGAGAGUAACUGUUCACGUUUCGACGGUAUCUAACCAGAAAGCCACGGCUAACUACGUGCCAGCCGCCGCGGUAAUACGUAGGUGGCAAGCGUUAUCCGGUUUUAUUGGGCGUAAAGGGAACGCAGGCGGUCUUUUAAGUCUUAUGUGAAAUCCUUCGGCUUAACCGGGGUAGUGCAUUGGAAACUGGGAGACUUGAGUGCAGAAGAGGAGAGUGGAACGCCAUGUGUAGCGGUGAAAUGCGUAGAUAUAUGGAAGAACACCAGUGGCGAAAGCGGCUCUCUGGUCUGUAACUGACGCUGAGGUUCGAAAGCGUGGGUAGCAAACAGGAUUAGAUACCCUGGUAGUC